UUGGGAAUCUUGCACAAUGGGGGAAACCCUGAUGCAGCGACGCCGCGUGGAGGACGAAGGGUCUAGGCCUGUAAACUCCUUUUCUCGGGAAAGACUUAGGACGGUACCCGAGGAAUAAGCACCGGCUAACUACGUGCCAGCAGCCGCGGUAAGACGUAGGGUGCAAGCGUUGUCCGGAUUUACUGGGCGUAAAGAGCGCGUAGGCGGUCUGUUAAGUGAGAAGUGAAAGCUCCGGGCUCAACUCGGAAAUGGCUUUUCAUACUGGCAGACUGGAGUGAUGCAGAGGUUUGUGGAAUUCCUGGUGUAGCGGUGAAAUGCGUUGAUAUCAGGAGGAACACCCAUGGCGAAGGCAGCAAACUGGGCAUUAACUGACGCUGAGGCGCGAAAGCGUGGGUAGCAAACAGGAUUAGAUACCCUGGUAGUCCACGCCCUAAACGAUGGAUACUAGGCGUUGGAGGUAUCGACCCCUCCAGUGCCGCAGCUAACGCACUAAGUAUCCCGCCG
rnacentral:rRNA from 1 species